rnacentral:rRNA from 1 species
AUGGCAGCCAUGGCAGUCGUCGUCGUCGUGUUCUUCGUCGCUGCGGCCCUAGUAGCGGCAGGCGGUGCGGCACUCGUCGAGCACACCUUUGUUGUGAGCCAGGUUAAGCUAAAUCGGUUGUGCAACGACAUGCUGGUCACUGUGGUGAACGGGCAAUUCCCAGGUCCAGCGAUAGAGGUUAAAGAAGGAGACUCGGUGGCUGUUCAAGUCAUCAACAAGUCCCCCUAUGGACUAACAAUUCACUGGCAUGGAGUGAAGCUGCAACUGAACUGCUGGGCAGAUGGAGCGGGGAUGAUAACCCAGUGCCCCAUCCAGCCGAACAAAAACUUCACCUACCGAUUUAACGUCACCGGCCAGGAGGGCACGCUGUGGUGGCACGCUCACGUUGGCAGUCUCCGGGCAAGCAUCCAUGGCGCCUUGAUCAUCCGGCCAAGAUCUGGUUCCAGGUCAUACCCGUUUCCCAAGCCUCACAAGGAGAUCCCGAUCGUCAUAGGCGAAUGGUGGGAGAUGGACUUGAAUCAGCUAGACAAGAACCUUAGGAACGGUCACCUUUUUGAUAUGCCCCGUGUAGCUACCAUAAAUGGGAAGCCUGGAGAUCUGGACAACUGCUCUGGGACCGUUAAAGACAGCAACAUUCUCAAGGUGGAGCAUGGCAAGACAUAUUUGUUACGGAUAGUGAACGCUGCGAUGAACUCGGAAUAUUACUUGAAGAUCGCCGGGCACAGGUUCACGGUGGUGGCCGCCGACGCCAACUAUGUCAAGCCGUACACCACAGACGUCAUCGCGAUCGCGCCGGGCGAGACCGUCGACGCUCUGCUUGUGGCCGACGCGCAUCCUGCUGGCAGAUACUACAUCGUCGCCAAGGCCAACCAGCCGCCCAAGCCUGCGAUCCAGAUCCCAGUCUUCAUCUCAAGAGGGAUAGUUCAAUACGGUGACGGUCCAAGAAAAGUAGAAGAGAAAGCUCUAUCUGAUAGUGCUUCAUUAAUAAUGGCGCCUGAAAUGCCGGAUAAGCAUGACGCGGCCACUUCCUUCUACUUCCAUGGCAACUUGACAAGCCUGCAGCCUCAGCCGGUGCCGGCCAACGUCCAUGAGCACCUCUUCUACGCCCUUGACGCGAGCUUCGUCUGUAGAGAAGGCGAAUCAUCCUGCAACAAUGCUACUAAUAUGAUGGGCAUGGUGAACAACGUCUCCUUCCAGCUCCCCACAACAACACCAUUGCUGCAGGCGCACUACCACGGCAACACGAGCAGCAUCGGCACGCUGCGGGAACUACCUGACAGGGCACCCAGGAUGUUUAACUACAGCGAAACGCUAGAGCCGACGUCCAAGGCGACGUCGGUGAGAAGGCUGCGGUACAACGCCACGGUGGAGAUCGUCUUCCAGAGCCCGGUGCUGGCGGACACAUACGCUAACCCCAUGCACCUCCAUGGCCACGACUUCCUCGUCCUCGCGCAGGGGUUCGGACAAUACAACGCCGAGACAGACGUGGCGACGUACAACCUGGUGGAUCCGCCGGUGAGGAACACCGUCCAUGUCCCACUAUUCGGGUGGGCGGCCGUCCGAUUUGUCACCAACAAUCCAGGUGUGUGGUUCAUGCACUGCCAUUUUGGGCACCACUCGUCGUCAGGCAUGGCGGCAGCAUUCGUGGUGGAGAACGGUCCAACUUUGGACUCGACUCUUCCUCCGCCUCCGGAAGAUUUUCCAAGCUGCAAGACCUACAAUAGUAGAGUUUCAUAUGAAUAA